rnacentral:rRNA from 1 species
UACGUAGGGUGCAAGCGUUGUCCGGAAUUAUUGGGCGUAAAGAGCUCGUAGGCGGUUUGUCGCGUCUGCUGUGAAAACUCGGGGCUUAACUCCGGGCCUGCAGUGGGUACGGGCAGACUAGAGUGAUGUAGGGGAGACUGGAAUUCCUGGUGUAGCGGUGAAAUGCGCAGAUAUCAGGAGGAACACCGAUGGCGAAGGCAGGUCUCUGGGCAUUAACUGACGCUGAGGAGCGAAAGCAUGGGGAGCGAACAGG